rnacentral:rRNA from 1 species
AGUUGCGAACGGGUGAGUAACGCGUAGGUAACCUGCCUGGUAGCGGGGGAUAACUAUUGGAAACGAUAGCUAAUACCGCAUAAAAUUGAUUAUUGCAUGAUAAUUAAUUGAAAGAUGCAACUGCAUCACUACCAGAUGGACCUGCGUUGUAUUAGCUAGUUGGUGAGGUAACGGCUCACCAAGGCGACGAUACAUAGCCGACCUGAGAGGGUGAUCGGCCACACUGGGACUGAGACACGGCCCAGACUCCUACGGGAGGCAGCAGAAGGGCGAAUUCGU